rnacentral:rRNA from 1 species
UACGGAGGGUGCAAGCGUUAUCCGGAUUUACUGGGUUUAAAGGGUGCGUAGGCGGGCUUUUAAGCCAGCGGUGAAAUCUCCGGGCUCAACCCGGAAAUUGCCGUUGAUACUAUUAGUCUUGAAUUAAGUUGAGGUGGGCGGAAUAUGUCAUGUAGCGGUGAAAUGCUUAGAUAUGACAUAGAACACCGAUUGCGAAGGCAGCUCGCUAAACUUAUAUUGACGCUGAGGCACGAAAGCGUGGGGAUCAAACAGG